rnacentral:lncRNA from 10 species
GUACUUGGGAGGCUGGAGAGCCGGGGCCGGGGCCGGGGCCGGGGCCGGGGUCAGGGUCGGACCCCGAGUGGGUGAGGCUGGCCCGGAGGCAAGGAUGCGAGGGGGUUGAGGGGCAGCUCGAGAGGGAGACGCUCCCAGGGGUGGGCUGGAGGGCGCCCUCAGGGCGCCUUAGCCGGGUCAGAGGCCUCUGGAGGGACCGCACGACGGCUCCGGGUUACCCGGCCGGAGGGAGCGGAGACAAAAGAGGCCAGAAUCCCGCAGCCGCUGCUCCUUGGGCUGAGAGCUCUGCGUCCGCGAACCGGCAGCACCUGGAGCCUCUGGCCGACACCCGAGCCCGUCCUCAGGAAGCCCGUUACUACUGCUCCUCGGAUUCCGUCUCUCCUGCCCAAUGUGACUCUCCCCAAGCCCCCAUGGUCCUCGCUUUGGAGCCAAAACCAGCUUCUCUCCUUGCGCGAGGUUUUCCGACAGGAAGAAACACCUCUUACAGUCAUCUGCAGGGGAUUCUCCAAGGACAUGGGAAGAUAGAUGUAAGCCCUGGAACCCAGACUCCUAAGCGAAGGGAAGCUGCAUUCUGCUAUUAAUGAUGGCCAAAUCAGCUCUAAGAGAGAAUGGCACUAACUCUGAGACCUUCCGACAGCGUUUC